CAGCAGCCGCGGUAAUACAGAGGAUGCAAGCGUUAUCCGGAAUGAUUGGGCGUAAAGCGUCUGUAGGUGGCUUUUCAAGUCCGCCGUCAAAUCCCAGGGCUCAACCCUGGACAGGCGGUGGAAACUACCAAGCUGGAGUACGGUAAGGGCAGAGGGAAUUUCCGGUGGAGCGGUGAAAUGCGUUGAGAUCGGAAAGAACACCAACGGCGAGAGCACUCUGCUGGGCCGACACUGACACUGAGAGACGAAAGCUAGGGGAGCAAAUGGGAUUAGAUACCCGGGUAGUCCCUGUCUCUUAUAC
rnacentral:rRNA from 1 species